rnacentral:rRNA from 1 species
AGCAGCCGCGGUAAUUCCAGCUCAAUAGCGUAUAUUAAAGUUGUUGCAGUUAAAAAGCUCGUAGUUGAAUUUCGGGACCAAUACGUCGGUCGUGCUUACGUACGUACUAACGUUAUUGGUUUCUCCCUUCUAACAAGCCGUGAUGUCAUUAAUUUGGUGUUACGGGGAGUUAGGACUGUUACCUUGAAAAAAUUAGAGUGUUUAAAGCAGGCAAUCGCUCGAAUACAUUAGCAUGGAAUAAUGGAAUAGGACGUUCGGACCUAUUUUGUUGGUUUCUAGGAUCGACGUAAUGAUUAAUAGGGAUAGUUGGGGGCAUUAGUAUUCAAUUGUCAGAGGUGAAAUUCUUGGAUUUAUUGAAGACUAACUACUGCGAAAGCAUUUGCCAAGGAUGUUUUCAUUAAUCAAGAACGAAAGUUAGGGGAUCGAAGACGAUCAGAUACCGUCGUAGUCUUAACCAUAAACUAUGCCGACUAGGGAUCGGAUGAUGUUAAUUUUAUAAUGACUCA